rnacentral:rRNA from 1 species
CGGGGGGAGCAAGCGUUGUUCGGAUUUACUGGGCGUAAAGGGCGCGUAGGCGGCCACCGCAAGUCGACUGUGAAAUCUCCGGGCUUAACCCGGAAAGGUCAGCCGAUACUGCGGGGCUAGAGUGCAGAAGGGGCAACUGGAAUUCUCGGUGUAGCGGUGAAAUGCGUAGAUAUCGAGAGGAACACCUGCGGCGAAGGCGGGUUGCUGGGCUGACACUGACGCUGAGGCGCGAAAGCUAGGGGAGCGAACGGGAUUAGAUACCCCGGUAGUCCUAGCCUUAAACGAUGAAUGCUUGGUGUCUGGGGUUUUAUAGUCCCCGGGUGCCGUCGCUAACGCUUUAAGCAUUCCGCCUGGGGAGUACGGUCGCAGGACUG